UACGAAGGGGGCUAGCGUUGCUCGGAAUUACUGGGCGUAAAGGGCGCGUAGGCGGCCUGUUAAGUCGAACGUGAAAUCCCCGGGCUCAACCCGGGAACUGCGUCCGAUACUGGCAGGCUUGAAUCCGGGAGAGGGAUGCGGAAUUCCAGGUGUAGCGGUGAAAUGCGUAGAUAUCUGGAGGAAUACCGGUGGCGAAGGCGGCAUCCUGGACCGGCAUUGACGCCGAGGAGCGAAAGCUAGGGGAGCAAACGGG
rnacentral:rRNA from 1 species